rnacentral:rRNA from 1 species
UACGUAGGGGGCAAGCGUUGUCCGGAUUUAUUGGGCGUAAAGAGCGUGUAGGCGGUCAGGUAAGUCCGUUGUGAAAACUCGAGGCUCAACCUCGAGACGCCGAUGGAAACCAUCUGACUAGAGUCCGGAAGAGGAGAGUGGAAUUCCUGGUGUAGCGGUGAAAUGCGCAGAUAUCAGGAAGAACACCCGUGGCUAAGGCGGCUCUCUAGUACGGUACUGACGCUGAGACGCGAAAGCGUGGGGAGCGAACAGG